rnacentral:misc_RNA from 1 species
GAUGAAGAACGCAGCGAAAUGCGAUACGUAAUGUGAAUUGCAGAAUUCAGUGAAUCAUCGAGUCUUUGAACGCACAUUGCGCCCCCUGGUAUUCCGGGGGGCAUGCCUGUCCGAGCGUCAUUGCUGCCCUCAAGCACGGCUUGUGUGUUGGGCCUCCGUCCUCCUCCCGGGGGACGGGCCCGAAAGGCAGCGGCGGCACCGCGUCCGGUCCUCGAGCGUAUGGGGCUUCGUCACCCGCUCUUGUAGGCCCGGCCGGCGCUUGCCGACACAUCAAUCUUUUUUCCAGGUUGAUCUCGGAUCAGGUAGGGAUACCCGCUGAAUUUAAGCAUAUCAAUAAGCGGAGGA